ACUUCUGCUAAGGCUCUGCACUGUGGGAAUGUUGCAGCACAGCUUCAUCCUUGUGUUCCCCAACUCUUGAGAUGAUUUAAAAAUGCUGCUGUCAGAGACUCCACUGACAUUGCUGCAUUGGAGCCCCAGCUUUGUAGAAAAUGUUGCUGUCGAUCCUUUGCUAUGGAAGUUUUCAUUGGCUCCUUUCUUGUAGAUCUUUAACAAUCUGUCAUCCAGCACAUAUAAAUAGAUCUAGAAGAAAUAAAAGAUGGCUGAUUUUUAGUCAGCAUUGUAAUCAUUUCUUUCUAAAUUGCAAAUCCACCAGGCAAGAUCCUUAGAACCAACACUUAGUUUCUACUUCAUGGAAGUCUGCAAUUCAGGGCAAGAGCUAAGAGUACCUGGUACACCGAGUUCCAUUUUCUCCAACCCAGUGCACAGGUGCACACACACCUGCCUUUUGACAAGCUGCUUCUAAAAGAUAUGACAAGCAUCAUCUGAGGGGAUUCUGGGACACAUAGACCAAGGUCAAAUACACAUUGACCCCCAAGUUCUGACCAUUUCUCAACUGGAGCGUUGGUGGUCUGGGACACCAAGGGCCUUAUCUAGGGCUUAAAGAGUAGGGCUGUCUUUAUUUUCUCUUCUCAUGAGACCCUGAUGCAUGAAACUCACUGUCAGUUUCAGGUGGCUGGACCCAAUUACAGUCAGAGAUCCCUAGUGUAUACUGUCACUAACUCAUACACUUACUCACUGGUGCUCUUACCAAUAUGUGUAGAGAGCACUUUAAAAUAAAGUAUUAGGCACUGUCUAAGGUGCCGAGGAUACCAAGAUGGAUCAGCCACUGUCUACCCUCCCUCCUUCCCCCAGGCUUCAUACUUCCCAGUCUCUGCCUUCAGCCCCUCUCUCCUUCAGGCAGUGAGUGAUGGGGGCUGUUUCAUCCAGUGUCUGAGCUUGUCCUGGCCAGGUAGACAUGGAGGCUAGGCGACCAGAACCAAAGAUGCAACUAUCCUUUAGGGACUGUCUGGUGAGGAGACCACGGAUUGUGCAACCAGAAAUGGGUCACUGCUGCUGGCGCCCCCAUCCUGCUGGCCUUGCUGCAGCUGUCGAAAGUUAGCUCUAACUAUGGUCUCCGCUAUUGCCAGAACGACCUUUCCUCUCUUACUGCUGCUUUGGGCAACUCACUCCAGCUUCAGAGUCCUAGAUGGGGGUGAUCCCAAGUCCCAUGUCCAUGCCCUGGCUCCCGGGGAGGUGGGAGAAAGUAUCUAUCAGAGGAGAUACUUCUGUAUCUCCUGUAUGAGGAGACUGACUCUCUCCCAGCAAGACUCAUGGUAGCAAUUACCCCAAAACAUCGAGAGGACUAAUGUAGUCCAUUGACUAAUGUCCACUACAUAAGUACUAUAUUUAAAUGAAGUUGUACUUUAUCAAUCACAAGAGCAUCUACAUAUAAAUGAAAAUAGAAAUACUUGUAUUCACGAGGUGUGUUAAUCUAGUUCUGUCUGUGGCAGGGUCAGCAAAGUUUUUGAGAGUGGGGCCAGAUAGUAAAUUUUCACUCAUUGCAUCUCUGCUGUGACUAUUGUUUUCGUAACAAAACAGUAGCCAUGAUAAUAUGUAAAUGAAUGAGUGUGGCUGUGUUCCAAUAAAACUUUAUUUGUGGACACAAAUGUGAAUUUCUUGUAAUUUUCAUGUGUCAUGAAAUAUUGUUCUUUUGAUUUUUUUUUCAACUAUUAAAAAAUAUACAAAUCAUCCUUAGCUUGUGGGUUGCGCAAAAGCAAGCAAUGGGCUAGAUUUGGCCUGUGGGUCAUUUGCCAACUCCUGAUCUGUAAGGAUGAUUGUUAACCUUUUUGGAAGGUCAGUCAGACCUCUUCAAAAAUCUUUUGAAAGGUAUGGAAUGGACCCUCUCUUUAGAGGAAAAAGGUGCUCCAAAAUUGACUCUGGGAUGUUCAUGGAUCUGCUGAAGAGUCAAUAACUCUGGUGUCUAAAUUAUGCUAGCUGAGCCCUUGAGCUUCCUGUUCCAUCAUGAACUUUUCAGAAUCCAGGAGGUCACAACCUUGACUGGAAGCAGCUAUCUACAGACCAUAACAAAUAAUCAGAAGCUUUCUCAACUCCACUGUGAAGCAACUGCUAUGGGACCCAAACCACAGACGUCUCCAGCAGGAUACAAUUAACUGUAACUAGGGAAGGAUUAUUUGUUAGAAAGGAGAAGAAUUGUUCUAACAGUGGCACUGCAUUCAUAGCCCAUAGGUGUCUCUCACACAGGCCAGUGAACUGUGAGGGAUGCACCUCAUCAGUGACACAGCACUACUGGAAACACUGCUUUUGAAGCUGCAGGUAUCUGUUAUGUUAUUUUUUAUGUCUUUUUUAAAUAUAUAAAAUACUUUUCAAAUGUUUAAAAUCCUACUGGAUCUCACCUGGGCCAGUGGUUGUCUUCGACUCAGGUUAGACUGUAGGGCGGAAGUGAACUCAGUCCCUAUUUGAACUUGUUUGGGAGCGAUGAGCUAGGGGCUGGGGAAGGUAACAGUUGCUGUUGGGGCUUUGAGGUUCUCUGAGGGUCACAGACCUGUGACCCUCACGAAGAAGGCAGUUCAGAGCACAGCGCACAGACCCUGGUGCUAACAUGCCACCUUUUUCUGAUCCUGAACUUAGCCACUUAGAUGUGUGACCUUGGUUACAUAACCCUUGUUGUUACCUAACCACUCUGUACCUUAGUUACCUCAUCUAUAAAAUGAGGAUGUUAAAAGUACUUAUUUCAGAGUUCCCGCUGUGGCAUGGUGUGUUAAUGAUCUGGUUUGUCUCUGUGAAUGUACCAGUUCGAUCUUCAGCCCUACACAACGGGUUAAGAAUCUGCAGCUGUGGCUUGGAUUUGAUCCCUGGCCCGGGAACUUCCAUAUGCCAAGGUUAUGGCCAAAAACGGGAAAGUACCUGUUUCAUAGAACUGAUAUAAGAAUUGAGAGGGACGGAGUUCCCAUUGUGACUCAGUGGUUAACAAAUCCGACUAGGAACCAUGAGGUGCGAGUUCAAUCCCUGGCCUUGCUCAGUGGGUUAAGGAUCCAGCGUUGCCGUAAGCUGUGGUGUAGGUUGAAGACGCGGCUCGGAUCCCGCGUUGCUGUGGCUCUGGCAUAGACCAGCAGCUACAGCUC
rnacentral:lncRNA from 1 species